rnacentral:tRNA from 1 species
AGGAACUUAGGAUAUAUUAAACCAG